CCUACGGGGGGCAGCAGUGGGGGAUAUUGCACAAUGGGGGGAACCCUGAUGCAGCGACGCCGCGUGGGGGAAGAAGCGCCUCGGCGCGUAAAGCCCUGUCAGCAGGGAAGCAAAUGACGGUACCUGAAGAAGAAGCACCGGCUAACUACGUGCCAGCAGCCGCGGUAAUACGGAGGGGGCCAGCGUUAUCCGGAUUUACUGGGGGUAAAGGGGGCGCAGACGGCGAGGCAAGCCAGGAGUGAAAGGCCGGGGCCCAACCCCGGGACUGCGCUUGGAACUGCGUGGCUGGGGUGCAGGAGGGCAGGCGGAAUUCGUGGUGUAGCGGUGAAAUGCGUAGAUAUCAGGAGGAACCCCGGUGGCGAAGGCGGCCUGCUGGACUGCAACUGACGUUGAGGCCCGAAAGCGUGGGGAGCAAACAGGAUUAGAUACCCGUGUAGUC
rnacentral:rRNA from 1 species